ACGAACGCUGGCGGCGUGCUUAACACAUGCAAGUCGAACGAUGAAGCUGGAGCUUGCUCCGGUGGAUUAGUGGCGAACGGGUGAGUAACACGUGAGCAAUCUGCCCUUGACUCUGGGAUAACUGCGGGAAACUGUAGCUAAUACCGGAUACGACGCCUGGAGGCAUCUCCGGGCGUGGAAAGAAUUUCGGUCAAGGAUGAGCUCGCGGCCUAUCAGCUAGUUGGUGAGGUAAUGGCUCACCAAGGCGACGACGGGUAGCCGGCCUGAGAGGGUGACCGGCCACACUGGGACUGAGACACGGCCCAGACUCCUACGGGAGGCAGCAGUGGGGAAUAUUGCACAAUGGGCGAAAGCCUGAUGCAGCAACGCCGCGUGAGGGAUGAAGGCCUUCGGGUUGUAAACCUCUUUUAGUUGGGAAGAAGCGAAAGUGACGGUACCAACAGAAAAAGCACCGGCUAACUACGUGCCAGCAGCCGCGGUAAUACGUAGGGUGCAAGCGUUGUCCGGAAUUAUUGGGCGUAAAGAGCUCGUAGGCGGUUUGUCGCGUCUGCUGUGAAAAUCCGAGGCUCAACCUCGGACCUGCAGUGGGUACGGGCAGACUAGAGUGCGGUAGGGGAGAAGGGAAUUCCUGGUGUAGCGGUGGAAUGCGCAGAUAUCAGGAGGAACACCAAUGGCGAAGGCACUUCUCUGGGCCGUAACUGACGCUGAGGAGCGAAAGCGUGGGGAGCGAACAGGAUUAGAUACCCUGGUAGUCCACGCCGUAAACGGUGGGUGCUAGUUGUGGGUCACAUUCCACGUGAUCCGUGACGCAGCUAACGCAUUAAGCACCCCGCCUGGGGAGUACGGUCGCAAGACUAAAACUCAAAUGAAUUGACGG
rnacentral:rRNA from 1 species